rnacentral:rRNA from 1 species
UACGGAGGGUGCGAGCGUUGUCCGGAAUCACUGGGCGUAAAGGGCGCGUAGGCGGCAUGCCAAGCGUGUGGUGAAAGCCCGGGGCUCAACCCCCGGGUCGGCCGUGCGGACUGGCGUGCUCGAGCACUGUAGGGGCGGGUGGAAUUCCGGGUGUAGCGGUGGAAUGCGUAGAGAUCCGGAAGAACACCGGUGGCGAAAGCGCGUCGCUGGGCCCCUCCUGACGCUGGACGGCGCGAAAGCCAGGGGAGCAAACGGG